UACAGAGGUCCCAAGCGUUGUUCGGAUUCAUUGGGCGUAAAGGGUGCGUAGGCGGCGCGGUAAGUCGGGUGUGAAAUCUCGGAGCUUAACUCCGAAACUGCAUUCGAUACUGCCGUGCUUGAGGACUGGAGAGGAGACUGGAAUUUACGGUGUAGCGGUGAAAUGCGUAGAUAUCGUAAGGAAGACCAGUGGCGAAGGCGGGUCUCUGGACGGUUCCUGACGCUGAGGCACGAAG
rnacentral:rRNA from 1 species